CGGCCUACCAAGGCAAAUGACGGGUAGCUGGUCUGAGAGGAUGGUCAGCCACACUGGGACUGAGACACUGCCCAGACUCCUACGGGAGGCUGCAGUCGAGAAUCUUUAGCAAUUGGCGAAAGCCUGACUAAGCGACGCCGCGUGCAGGAUGAAGGCCUUCGGGUUGUAAACUGCUUUUAUCAGGAAAGAAACCUUUAAAGUUAAUACCUUUAGAGUUGACGGUACCUGAGGAAUAAGCCACGGCCAACUCCGUGCCAGCAGCCGCGGUAAUACGGAGGUGGCUAGCGUUACUCGGAAUUAUUGGGUGUAAAGGGCAAGUAGGCGGUCUAUUAAGUGAGGGGUGAAAUCUUUCGACUCAAUCGGAAAAUUGCCUUUCAAACUAAAAGACUUGAGAUUGGAAGGGGGAAAUGGAAUUAGCAGUGUAAGGGUGAAAUCUGUAGAUAUUGCUAAGAACACCGGCGGCGAAGGCGAUUUCCUGGUCCAAUUCUGACGCUAAAUUGCGAAAGCUAGGGGAGCAAACAGAAUUAGAUACUCUGGUAGUCCUAGCCGUAAACGAUGAGCACUAGGUGUUGGUCCGUAAGGAUCAGUGCCGCAGCUAACGCAUUAAGUGCUCCACCUGGGGACUACGGCCGCAAGGCUAAAACUCAAAGGAAUUGACGGGGACCCGCACAAGCGGUGGAACAUGUGGUUUAAUUCGAUGCUACGCGAAGAACCUCACCAGGGCUUGACAUGUAGACAGUAGUGAACCGAAAGGGGAACGACUCGUUAAGUCCGAGAAUUUACACAGGUGCUGCAUGGCUGUCGUCAGCUCGUGUCGUGAGAUGUUGGGUUAAGUCCCGCAACGAGCGCAACCAUUGCCCCAUGUUGCCAACCUUGAUGAUCUGCUUGCAGAUUUCAAGGAGCACUCUUGGGGGACUGACUGGGAUAACCAGUAGGAAGGUGGAGAUGACGUCAAGUCAGUACGGCCUUUAUGCCCUGGGCUACACACGUGUUACAAUGGUAGGUACAAAGGGUUGCCAACCCGCGAGGGGGAGCUAAUCUCAAAAAACCUACCUCAGUUCGGAUUGGAGUCUGCAAUUCGACUCCAUGAAGCCGGAAUCGCUAGUAAUGGGAGAUCAGCUCGCUCCCGUGAAUACGUUCCCGGGUCUUGUACACACCGCCCGUCAAGCGAUGGGAGCUGGUGGUACCCGAAGUCCUAUGUAGGUAGGCCGAAGGUAAAACCAGUGACUGGCGC
rnacentral:rRNA from 1 species